GAUGAACGCUGGCGGCGUGCUUAACACAUGCAAGUCGAACGAAGCACUCUAUUUGAUUUUCUUCGGAAAUGAAGAUUUUGUGACUGAGUGGCGGACGGGUGAGUAACGCGUGGGUAACCUGCCUCAUACAGGGGGAUAACAGUUGGAAACGACUGCUAAUACCGCAUAAGCGCACAGGAUCGCAUGAUCCGGUGUGAAAAACUCCGGUGGUAUGAGAUGGACCCGCGUCUGAUUAGCCAGUUGGCAGGGUAACGGCCUACCAAAGCGACGAUCAGUAGCCGACCUGAGAGGGUGACCGGCCACAUUGGGACUGAGACACGGCCCAAACUCCUACGGGAGGCAGCAGUGGGGAAUAUUGCACAAUGGGGGAAACCCUGAUGCAGCGACGCCGCGUGAGCGAAGAAGUAUUUCGGUAUGUAAAGCUCUAUCAGCAGGGAAGAAGAAUGACGGUACCUGACUAAGAAGCA
rnacentral:rRNA from 1 species